UUGAGGGAGGUACGUGUCCACAGCAGUGCAAUGUGAACUUGAAAUAUACCUGUUCUAACUUUAGUUUUAGUGCAUAUGGUAACUUGUAUUUCAGGAUGUGUGGACUUAAAUUGAGUCAUGUUUUGUCGAGAACAUUUAUGUUUUGUGAGCUUUAGAUAGUUAACGUAGCUAAUCUCGUGGUUUGCGCUCGCCAUUCUAUCUUCGUGUAGCCCAAAUGUUUCAGGGGCCGUAUUACAGAAACUUCCUAUCUUAAGUCCUAAGUUAAGAUAGGAGAAGUGGAGAUAGGAGUUUUCUCAAUUUGGUAUUACAGAAACAUAUCCUAUCUUAAUUUAGUAGGCCUAAUCCUAUUUUAUCUCAGGUUAAGAUAUCCUAAAUAGGCGAUCUAGCAUCGACAUUCAGCUUUUAUGUCUGUUACCUAGCAACUGAUUAAACUUGUUGUCGGAUCACGUCACUUCACAGCUGACAGCUGUCAUAAUCCUAAAAUAUCCAAUAACAACUGGUAGCUAUGGAUGGGAUUGGGAAAAAACAACGUCGUGCCGAAAAUUUUAAAGCGGACGAAAUAGAAAAGUUGGUGAGUUUAGUAGAAAGCUCAAAGGAAAUAUUGCAUGGGAAAUUUUCUAUGAGUCUGACCAAAGAAAAGAAAAACCAAGAAUGGCUGAAAAUAGCCGAAAAGGUGAGCACCGUAUCAGCGAUCAGUAGAAACGUUGAAAACGUCAAGAAAAAAAUUACCACACUGACAAGUGACGUUAAGAAAAAAGCAACGUUCAUUUGUAAAGACCGGAGAAUUACCGGUGGUGGCAACUCUUCCACUACCCCCCUGCCACCGGCGGAGGACCGGAUUGUGGGACUCCUCAGCAAGGCUGACUACGAGGGCAUCGAUGGAGGCUUUGAGACUGGGUUGCCAGUGGACUUCUUGGAGACCACAACUUCAGUCAGUGAAGUUGUUGAAGUCGAUGCUACACAACCGCCUCCUG